rnacentral:rRNA from 1 species
UAGGGAAUCUUCGGCAAUGGGGGCAACCCUGACCGAGCAACGCCGCGUGAGUGAAGAAGGUUUUCGGGUCGUAAAGCUCUGUUGUAAGAGAAGAACGUGUGUGAGAGUGGAAAGUUCACACAGUGACGGUAACUUACCAGAAAGGGACGGCUAACUACGUGCCAGCAGCCGCGGUAAUACGUAGGUCCCGAGCGUUGUCCGGAUUUAUUGGGGGUAAAGCGAGCGCAGGCGGUUUAAUAAGUCUGAAGUUAAAGGCAGUGGCUUAACCAUUGUUCGCUUUGGAAACUGUUAAACUUGAGUGCAGAAGGGGAGAGUGGAAUUCCAUGUGUAGCGGUGAAAUGCGUAGAUAUAUGGAGGAACACCGGUGGCGAAAGCGGCUCUCUGGUCUGUAACUGACGCUGAGGCUCGAAAGCGUGGGGAGCAAACAGG